GUGCUCACUUCAGCAGCACAUAUACUAAAAUUGGAAUGAUACAGAGAAGAUUAGCAUGGCCUCUGUGCAAGGACGACAUGCAAAUUCGUGAAGCAUUUCAUAUUUUU
ensembl:snRNA U6 U6 spliceosomal RNA